CCACCCCUAAAAAAAAUUCAUUCAUCAGCUCCACCCCACCGCAAACCCCUCUCUGUCUCCACCCCUCCUCCCUUCCCCUUCCAGAUCGCCGCCGCCGCCGCAUCCCCAUCGGCUCCACCGGCGAGCCCUCGCAUCCAUGGCCUCCUCCACGCCCUUCCUCACCGCAUCGCCACCCGGACCCUAUCCCUUCCUCACCGCAUGGCCACCCCAAGCCUCCACCGAUGGAACCCUAACCCUAACCUAGCGACAACAGCGUCGCGGUUGGCUUGCUCGCCGGCGCGUGCGUGCGUGCUUCGAUGCGCGACGCCCCGUCGAGCUGGCCGGCGGCGGCGAGGGCGGCAACAAGGGCCCGGGGCAGGGCGGUGGCGCGGUUCGUGCAGACCAGGCACCGCUCCUCCGGCAAGGUGCUCGGCGAGGAGGAGACGGCCGCCGAGAACGUCUACAUCAAGUCAAGUGCUGUUCUUGGUGGAGUUGCGCCUCCGGUGCGCUCUUCGGGCUGCUCGGAGCCAUGCUGUCAGAGCUCUUCAUCAACUGGGCCAUCUACACCAACAAGGAGGGUGCAUCUCCAACCAAUUCUGCAGCGGUAGCAGCACCAGCAGUACUUCGUUCUGAAAAUCCGUCAAGUUUCUCUGGAAUUUGGUUAACCUUGUUGAAAUUAUAUGCUCUGGAAUUUGUGAUUCUGUGCACAACCAGUGGAUUGCUGCAUGAUUUUGUGCUACCGGACGCAAGGGUGGAGAAUGCGCCUCCUUGCCGAAGCUUCUCGCUCUAGCGGUCUGGUGCUGGUGAUCUCAGCCCGUAUAGAUGGAUUGGCCAGCAGCUGUGUAUACGGCAGCGGUGCUGCUGUACUACUACACCUAUGAUCCAAUCUAAAGUGCUGGUCCCAAGACUCUGAACUAGCCAAGAAGCAGGAGAGGACGAGAGAGCAACUUCGCUGUGUGCAGCAGCCCUACAAACCCUUUCUACUAUGACCUGAUGAAGCCAUGAUGCUUACCUCGCUGGAGCGUAUCAACCCUAGCCAUGGUACCACAUUCUUAGUCAUGAGGUCACUGUGCUACAACCACAACAACGAUAUCUUCUCCAGUUAGAUAAGUCUUCGGUCUAUCCCAUUAUUUUCUGUUACUUGGUUUUGAGAUGCUUAUUUUGGGACGAAGGGAGUAUUAUUGUGUCGAUUCCCUAUGUGAUAUAGAAGCUAUGGUAUUUUGUUUUGAGUCUGUUGUAAUUGAUAAUGAUUUGUGUAAAAUUAGUGUAGAACAUAUGUCCUGUUAUCUUAAGUCAUUUGUGCAUGCUCAAUGAACCAUCUGAGAUUGAAUCAUUUUUUGCGUUCAACAUCUAGAACCAUUCUGUCCGUGUUGGUAUUCAUGCUACAACUGUGCUUUCUUGUCUCUUGUGUUGCGUGGUCCUUGUGGUUGUUACUGUUACAUGUACAUAUGCUUCAUGAUUCAGUCCCUAGCUGCUUUGUAUGUUUGUUUUUAUUCUGUUUCUAACUCCUUUUGUUUAUUGUUAGAUGCCUUUGUUCAGCCUCUGCAAACAAGAGCUCCAACCUGAAAGUGAAGAAAGCAGAAGUAUACCUGUAGAGCUAGUUAUAUGUUGUGAUAGUAUCUGGGUGAAAUGUACUAUGUAAAGAUUGUGCUAUUAGCCAAAAUUGGCAUGUGUAUUGAUAAUUUCCAUCUGUUAACUGUUCUCAAUGAAAUAUUGCUUCAAAUUAUGGAAA